UACGUAGGUGGCAAGCGUUGUCCGGAAUUAUUGGGCGUAAAGCGCGCGCAGGUGGUUCCUUAAGUCUGAUGUGAAAGCCCACGGCUCAACCGUGGAGGGUCAUUGGAAACUGGGGGACUGAGUGCAGAAGAGGAAAGUGGAAUUCCACGUGUAGCGGUGAAAUGCGUAGAGAUGUGGAGGAACACCAGUGGCGAAGGCGACUUUCUGGUCUGUAACUGACACUGAGGCGCGAAAGCGUGGGGAGCAAACAGG
rnacentral:rRNA from 1 species